UCAACGCAGUUGUUUUAAAUUGUUUUGAGUGUGGUUUGGAGUUAAGCAGUAUAUCGAAAUGGAAUAUAAAUAUAGCAAUAUUGCUUUAUUUUUUAUAAUUAUGAGUGUUCACGUUAUUUACUCCGAUGAAACAGAUGAAGAAAAUAAAGCUACUUCAACUUCAUAUAUGCCUCCAGAAUUUCCACUUGACUUCAAUCAAGUUUUUGAUGAUGCCAGUAACGUAUUGCGGAAAGUUGUCGGAAAAAUGAUAGCUAACAAACGUUUACUUGGAUUGGAUUGGUA